rnacentral:tRNA from 1 species
UGGGCUGUAGCUCAGUGUGGUAGAGCAUCUGCCUUGCCUGUGUAAGGCACUGAGUUCGAUCCUCAGCAGCACAU